rnacentral:rRNA from 1 species
UACGUAGGGGGCGAGCGUUGUCCGGAUUUAUUGGGCGUAAAGAGCGUGUAGGCGGUUCGGUAAGUCUGUCGUGAAAUCCUGAGGCUCAACCUCGGAGGUGCGAUGGAUACUGCCGGGCUAGAGGGUGGUAGAGGCGAGUGGAAUUCCCGGUGUAGCGGUGAAAUGCGCAGAUAUCGGGAGGAACACCAGUAGCGAAGGCGGCUCGCUGGGCCACACCUGACGCUGAGACGCGAAAGCGUGGGGAGCAAACAGG